ensembl:lncRNA
CUCGAGGCGCCCAUAGGCUUUAUGGUUUAUAUGUUUGAAAGCUGUGACACACUCUUUUACCAGUUGGCCUGAAAUACCACGCCUCGCAGUCAUGGACCUAUAAAGAAAGUCGUAGUCGUACCAUGCGUGUUUACCGCAACAUUGAGAAGGGGUCCCGUCUGAAACAGUGUCGCGCAGCUCCGCGUUCCGAACGUUGUGUAAUCAAAUACACCGGUAUGGCGGUAGGCUAUAUUAAAAAAUCAUAUCCUAACGAAAAUACACACCGUUAUUCAGUGAGAACCGGUAUAGCGCCCAGCACUAACGCAAGUUGACGCAGCAACACCAUGGGGGCGGGGCAGGGGGCGUUAGAAAACGUCAGGCACCGUUAUGAGGAACCGAAAUGUGUGUUCUUAUUCGAUCUCGUUACAACCGUUUACGUCGGAACCGGUUCCCUACUGGAACCGAGUUUCGGUGCUCAACCCUAGUGAGGACCAGACCUAGUCUGGACCCCACCAGGAGCUCUGGACAAGGAGGCGGUGAGCGGACCCUCCCUGUGAACGUGGACUCCAUGUUGCUGCUUACUGGCACUCUGCUAAUGAUAAUAAUAAACCAGUUGUGUCCUGAUGCUAACUGUCUGCCCCCCUCCCCCCCAGGUGUCUCUGAAGUGCCGGGCGGCCGAGGUGUCCCAGUGUGUGUUCCAGUGCUACGAGGCGGCGCUCAAGAACUGACCACACCACACCACACACACAAACACACACACCACACACACACGCACCCACACCCACACACCCCCCUCUUUACUGCAGAGCCCGCAGUGGAUAGACCACAGGGGUCGUGACCCGAGCUCCGUGAGUGAGAGAAGUGGUUCUGCCCCCCCUCCACGGACCCCUUCUUUUCAUCUCCCCUUGAUGAGUGCUUUUCACGCUGGGCUGUCCUCCGUUUGAAAAGCUCUCACAUUAUGAAUCAUGUUUUGUUUGUCGCUUCUGUCCCUCUCAUUGUGAUGAGGGACGAGCGUUAAAGCUGAGCUCUCCCUCUGCUUGCAUGAUCCUGUUGCCGCGUCGCAACAAUGAAUCCUCUAUUCAUCGUGUGAACAAUCACCUGCAAGUCAUCUCUGCUGUAAACUCUUUAUUUUGGGUCCAAACCAAAGCAUUUUGUACUGAUCCACCGACUGCUCUGACAAAAGGCUUCACCGUGUUGAAGGCCGUGGAGAGAGAGGCUUAGAAAACAUGUUGUUCGAUUUGUAAGCGAGUUUGCUUUUAGUUGAGUGUGAUUACUUUGGCUUGUACCUUUCUUUUUUUCUUCUUCUCUUGUUAGUCUGUCCAUAUGUUGUUUCCUGCCCGCGGGACGCAGCCGGUUUGCUGUGCUUGUGUGUGCCUCUUUCUUUCUCUUAUUUAGUGUAUUAUAAUAUAAAGUGUGGACAGAAGGACACACACACACACACACGCACACGCACACGCACACACACACACUUCUCUCUAAUGCUCCUCAUUCAUUCCAUUAUUAUAUUCGUGUGAGUUAGUGUGGGGCAGUGUGCUGUUGGGCUGAGUGCUACUCAUCAAUCAGGUUCUUUCCUGUAGCCCCCCACCUCCCCGCCCAGCGUUGUUUUUUUGUGCAGGGGUCAAGGGAAUGGGGAGGACAGCUCUGAUGGGUUCUGGGUUCCCCAAUACAGCGUUCUGAUCAUCCCAUGUCAGACUGUAGGCGGAGCUCCUCAUUAUGCAUCGUCCCUCUGAUCAAAAGAAGCCCUGCUCCUUCAUCUCAUUUAACUGAAGGAGUUCAACAAAGCAAUGCUGUUGCUCCCCUCGGCUUGAAUUACGCACUAAAUAUGACAUGAUAUUGUAGUCUUCGAAAGCAAGUGUGCGUGUUUUCUCUUGGUAUGAGUGUCUGUGUGUGUGUGUGUGUGUGUGUGGCAGUGGACAAUUAUAUUAUAAGAUUGUUUAAAGGAAACAUGUUAAUGGUGAGGGAUUAAGAAUGUCCAUGAUUUGACUUGAUUUUGUUUAACGCGUGUACAUGAUUUCAAACAGAACUAUUAUUAAAACUGAUCUAUUCAC